rnacentral:rRNA from 1 species
UACGUAGGGGGCAAGCGUUGUCCGGAAUUAUUGGGCGUAAAGAGCUCGUAGGCGGUUUGUCGCGUCGAAUGUGAAAACCCGGGGCUCAACCCCGGGCCUGCAUUCGAUACGGGCAGACUAGAGUUCGGUAGGGGAGUCUGGAAUUCCUGGUGUAGCGGUGAAAUGCGCAGAUAUCAGGAGGAACACCGGUGGCGAAGGCGGGACUCUGGGCCGAUACUGACGCUGAGGAGCGAGAGCGUGGGGAGCGAACAGG